UACGUAGGUGACAAGCGUUGUCCGGAUUUACUGGGCGUAAAGAGCGCGCAGGCGGUCGAUCAAGUCGAGUGUGAAAGCCCCCGGCUCAACUGGGGAGGGUCAUUCGAUACUGAUCGACUCGAAGGCAGGAGAGGGUAGUGGAAUUCCCGGUGUAGUGGUGAAAUGACGUAGAUAUCGGGAGGAACACCAGUGGCGAAGGCGACUACCUGGCCUGUUCUUGACGCUGAGGCGCGAAAAGCUAGGGGAGCAAACGGG
rnacentral:rRNA from 1 species